UGAGGAAUAUUGGUCAAUGGGCGAGAGCCUGAACCAGCCAAGUCGCGUGAAGGAAGACAGUCCUAAGGAUUGUAAACUUCUUUUAUACGGGAAUAACGGGCGAUACGAGUAUUGCAUUGAAUGUACCGUAAGAAUAAGCAUCGGCUAACUCCGUGCCAGCAGCCGCGGUAAUACGGGGGAUGCGAGCGUUAUCCGGAUUUAUUGGGUUUAAAGGGUGCGUAGGUUGUUCGGUAAGUCAGCGGUGAAACCUGAGCGCUCAACGUUCAGCCUGCCGUUGAAACUGCCGGGCUUGAGUUCAGUGGCGGCAGGCGGAAUUCGUGGUGUAGCGGUGAAAUGCAUAGAUAUCACGAGGAACUCCGAUUGCGAAGGCAGCUUGCCAUACUGCGACUGACACUGAAGCACGAAGGCGUGGGUAUCAAACAGG
rnacentral:rRNA from 1 species